AGAGUUUGAUCAUGGCUCAGGAUGAACGCUAGCGGCAGGCUUAAUACAUGCAAGUCGAGGGGCAGCAGGAGUAGCAAUACUUGAUGGCGACCGGCAAACGGGUGCGGAACACGUACAGAACCUUCCUUCGAGCGGGGCAUAGCCCGGAGAAAUCCGGAUUAAUACCCCAUAGUAAACUGGAGUGGCAUCACUUUGGUUUUAAAGAUUUAUCACUUGAAGAUGGCUGUGCGCCUGAUUAGGUAGUUGGCGGGGUAACGGCCCACCAAGCCUUCGAUCAGUAACUGGCGUGAGAGCGCGACCAGUCACACGGGCACUGAGACACGGGCCCGACUCCUACGGGAGGCAGCAGUAAGGAAUAUUGGUCAAUGGACGCAAGUCUGAACCAGCCAUGCCGCGUGGAGGAUGAAGGUCCUCUGGAUUGUAAACUUCUUUUAUUUGGGACGAAAAAAGGGCUUUCUAGCUCGUCUGACGGUACCAGAUGAAUAAGCACCGGCUAACUCCGUGCCAGCAGCCGCGGUAAUACGGAGGGUGCAAGCGUUAUCCGGAUUUACUGGGUUUAAAGGGUGCGCAGGCGGAUAUGUAAGUCAGUGGUGAAAUCUCUAGGCUUAACCUGGAAAUUGCCGUUGAUACUAUAUAUCUUGAAUGCUGUGGAGGUAAGCGGAAUAUGUCAUGUAGCGGUGAAAUGCUUAGAUAUGACAUAGAACACCUAUUGCGAAGGCAGCUUACUACGCAGAUAUUGACGCUCAUGCACGAAAGCGUGGGGAUCAAACAGGAUUAGAUACCCUGGUAGUCCACGCCCUAAACGAUGAUUACUCGACAUACGCGAUACACAGUGUGUGUCUGAGCGAAAGCAUUAAGUAAUCCACCUGGGAAGUACGACCGCAAGGUUGAAACUCAAAGGAAUUGGCGGGGGUCCGCACAAGCGGUGGAGCAUGGUGGUUUAAUU
rnacentral:rRNA from 1 species